CCAGCGGUCUGUCUGUGAAGAGUGACUGUUCUAUGGGAACACCUUUAACCUUCAGUCAUGAACCUGGAGCCUCAGAGACAAAAUUGUGAACCAUUCUCUCGCCACAUCUGUCUAUGACUCACUCUUGACACAUGUCAACAUGCUUGCCUCGGUCACAUGUCACGGUCGAAGAAGAAGAUCAACUGCUGGAGAUGGCAAAAUGACGGCGGCAUUAAAACAGGGUGAGCGGGUGCUGCUGCUGCUGCUG